rnacentral:sRNA from 1 species
CCUUCAUGUUCUGCCAUGAUUGUGAGGCCUCCCCAGCCAUGUGGAACUUUGCUCCGCUCUGCUGCUGAUUGGUCUGCUGGUAUAAAGUACCAUGAAGAGUCCAUCCAUGCCGCUUACGUCUAUGUGAUAGAGAACAGCAGGCACUAUAUCUAUAUCGAAAACCAGUUUUUCAUAAGCUGUGCUGAUGACAAAGUUGUGUUCAACAAGAUAGGCGAUGCCAUUGCCCAGAGGAUUCUGAAAGCUCACAGGGAAAACCAGAAAUACCGGGUAUAUGUCGUGAUACCGCUUCUGCCAGGGUUCGAAGGAGACAUUUCAACCGGCGGAGGAAAUGCUCUACAGGCAAUCAUGCACUUCAACUACAGAACCAUGUGCAGAGGAGAAAAUUCCAUCCUUGGACAGUUAAAAGCAGAGCUUGGUAAUCAGUGGAUAAAUUACAUAUCAUUCUGUGGUCUUAGAACACAUGCAGAGCUUGAAGGAAACCUAGUCACUGAGCUUAUCUAUGUCCACAGCAAGUUGUUAAUUGCUGAUGAUAACACUGUUAUUAUUGGCUCUGCCAACAUAAAUGACCGCAGCAUGCUGGGAAAGCGUGACAGUGAAAUGGCUGUCAUCGUGCAAGAUACAGAGACUGUUCCUUCAGUAAUGGAUGGAGAAGAGUACCAAGCUGGCCGGUUUGCCCAAGGACUUCGGCUACAGUGCUUUAG